UCUUAUCAUCAGACUGGUCGUCCUGCUGCUGAGUCUGCUGUCGGUGAACGCUGUCAUCUAUUUCAUCUGGAAGGCCACCAGGGGGCAGAAGCCAGGCCCACAGGAGAACAUGGAGCUGGAUGUUCUGUCCAGAGCUGAAGGAGUCCAGGCAGCAGAGUAGGACCUCUAAGGAGCUCAUCUCCCAUCCUGAUGGAUUUCUCAGCUGUCAUUCAACUGUCCAUUCACUCAGUCAAGGAUCUGACAUUUUUACUCAAGUGUUGCCUGUAGGGUAUCACUGAAACCCCUGCAGGACAAACUAUGGAGGAAAAUAAGCUUUGUUUCUUCACAGAAUGAUUUUCAUGAUACUCAGGUCAGUCCAGAUGAUCUCUUCCUCUCUACACUGAACACUGUAGCGACAUCAAACCUCAGUAACAGUAUCAGUAACUAUGAAAGAGUUCAUAGUGGAGGGAGAUAUAAACGGACAUGUACCACAGACUGCAUUAGGUUUAAAGUUAUGUCAUAAAGAAUUAUAACCUAAACUCCCAUCCAGUCCUGCUUUCCCAUCAGCCAUCCAGUGAUAGACAGUAGAUAAAGAAGAGCCUUUCUUUCUAACUUCAGACCAUCUAUUAGGACAUCAAGGAAUAUACAACCAGUUCAAAGGUCAAACAGAAGAUCAGCUCUAAUGAACACAAGGCCGACAUAGGAACAGUCAAAAACCCCAGAAUGACAAUGGGUUCAUUCUAUGCAACACCUCAUCUCUGCAUUUAAUAUUUGACUGUUACCUUUAUCAUGAAAAGUAACAUGGAAAGAACUGUAAUAAACAGCAGAGAUUGGACUCUUACAGAUCCAUGUUUAUGGAUGUUAAGUGUUUUUGUGUGUCUGCGCACUUUCUGUUGUAGUGUGGCAUAGCUGAUAUCAUUGUUAGCAUUCUUAACCCAUUGAUCAUGGUAGCUAGAAAAAAUGGUAUAUCCAACAUUGUGUUGGCCUUUUGUAACAUCUGGAGUCAACAGCAUAAAUCCAUGGACCCACCUGCCUUGAGUCAACAGUCCAGGCUGGUAGUUUUGGUGUGGAUCUAUUCUGAUGCUGUUUGUGCUUUAAUGUUUAUUUUGUAUUGAUGAACUUUCUACGCUGACUGAAAUGAUCCUGAGUGGUCACUGCCCUCCACUGGUCAAAAAUUCUCCCCCUCUGAAAAAUCUUGGUGUGCUGGACUUGAAUCCCAAAACACCAGGGUAAAUGAUCAGUUUAAAACAGAUUGGAGUCCAGGCUGUGGUCUGUCUGCUGCCACCUGCUGGAAUAAAGCAGCACUGCAGGUGUGUGGACGUCACUCUACAUUAAAACUGAUGAAAUAAUUGAGAGUGGGAGCGGGAGAGGAACAGGAGACUGAUCACAUUUCUGCUUCUCCCAAGAGACUGAAGACUCAGGUCGAGGCCAGAACAGUCAGAGGAAAAGUCUUCAAGCAACAAACUCAAAGUUUUGGGGUAUGGAAUGAGGGGAGAUGUCAGAGCGGCAGACCUUUUAAUGAGAUACAAGUAACCUUGUGACAUCACAGUGCAUCAGACUGGAAGUUUGAGGUCAGGAAGACGUGACUUCUGAGACAGAAACAGAGCAACAGUUCUUGCUGCCUAUAUAGUACAGAGGAAUUAAGUUUGUCACCAAACCAAUACUUAACAGUAAGAAUUUGACUUGCUCUAGGACCAAAACAAAAAUCUGAGAAAAAACAGGGAUAAUAUACUAACUCUGUUCAGACUUGCAAAUUUGAAUUGAAGAGAGAGAAGAAAAGACAGACAAAGUUGUGACACUCAUGUUAGUUUUACCAGUUUGAGUAAAAGAAGACUGAUUAGAAUAUUCAAACCCAAACUCCACUUCAUUCCUCUGCUCAGUAUCUCACUGUAGAUGGUGAUGGAUAAUGUGUACCAUCUAGUGGACAGAUCAUAAACUACACCAGAUGAUCUGUGACUUCACAGUUCUCAGUGACAGACUGCUGUUCCUCUCUCUGUAAACCUCUCUGUCUCUCUUUCUCCUUCCUGUGGGUUAUAACAGACGUAAUGCAUCCAAAACGUUGAUCUGAUGUGACAUAUAGUGACCUUAGAUCUGUUUUAUAUGUUAUCAUUUUUUAAAAUAUACUGAUAGAAGAAUACGUGGUCAGUUACAGAGGAUGUGGUUCCUCUUGUUUUGAUCUCCAACUACCAGAUUCUGGUGUUCUGGCAAACUCUCACCAGUACCACAUAUUCCUUACUUUCUAUUACUUUCUAUGUAAAUAAGUAGGCAUUGGUUAUCAAGCAGAGAAUAUGAUAACAGUAUGGUUUAUAUUAGAAUAGAGAAGAAUGAAGAAUGAAAGCAUCUUAUUAUGUGACAGCAGGAGCAGCAGCCAGCUCAUUAGAGUGCAGGAGAUCCCUUACACCAGGCAGGUGAUGAUAUACACAACUGUAUGAGCGCCUGGCACUCGGAUGGCGAGGAGGGCCCUGUAUGAUCACACACUAAACCAAAUGAAAGCACACAGGAGUAGUUAAUAUUCACAGCAGUCUAUGUCCUUGUAACAGCAUGGAAUUUUGGUUUUUAUCUCAUUGGAGGAUCUCAUCCAUUAUUUAGGAUGCAGGCACAAACCAACAGACGCUUCUCAAUAAUUCCUGGGGAGCUCGACUGCCUCUGCUGCUGCUCAUUCUCUCCCACACUUUCUCUCUUCCUCUUCCUCUUAUUUUCUUUUUUAUCACUGUUUUCUAUUUCCUCAGCUGCCUGCUCUCUAAUAAUUCUCAACAAGCAUGUGUUUGGUUGACCUCAAAGGGCUUUGGCAUAUACAGCAGUGGGUAUACAGUGCACAUAUAUACAGUAUAUUCACUUAAAACCUGAGAGGUGCUAGAAGAAAGGGAGUGAUAGAAUCAGAGAGGUGUUAAGUUGCCUCAGAUGAAUAUGUAAUGCAGAAGCUGGAGUGCGUUCCUGUCGUUCAUUAAUUUCCUGUCAGGCAGCUGUAUUAUUCAUUAUUCAUAUUAUUCAUUUACCUCUUCAUGACACUUACUCCAAAUGUGUGAUGUUUGCAUGCAGCUGCAGAGGCCCUACACUCAGACUGACCCCCUGUUGACUUGCACACAUGCAGCCUCCUAAACUCCCCUGUGGCUGCCUGCAGCCUGCAGCCUGCUGCACAUUGACAUUCUGUAGAGCUGCUGAGCCUUUCACCCAUCUGACACCCAGAUGAAGAUUAUCUGUGAUCCAAAUGUUAAUCAGUGUAUUUAUGAGAGAGGAUUGUCUCUAUAAAACGUGCAACAUGGCCAUCCUUAACACUUUGUGGCUAAAGGUAUUACAGUGUUGUAUAAUUUAUAUUUCUUGCAUUUCAACUCUGAGUCUGGGUAUUUGCAGGAGGUGACCAGCAGGUGGCAGUGUUGGUUUGGUGAGAGAGCCUCAGAGCACAGAGGCCUUUCUCUUAUAGACAGACCUGAUUUGUCACAUUGAUCCUAGAAAUAAACACAUGAUUAACAGUGACAGGCUGUUUGAUUAUAUCAAUCAUGUAUUGUCAGUUUGGAGGCAGAGCCUGGAAAAUAUGUCAGGGCUGGUGUGAAGUAGGUGAGGUAUGAAUGGAACAGUUGGAGGAAAUGAUCCAGUCUGUUCUCACUGUAUACACUCUAUUCGUCCUUUAGCACAUUGACUCUUUACACUUAGAACAAUUAAAGAGGAGAGCGUCACACAGUGAGAGAUAACCAACACAAAGCUGAGUGUAGUUUUUACGCUCCCCCCAGCUUUUUUAAAGGGAGUUUCAAAUGUGCACUAUCUUGUUGUCAAAGCAUGAGACUUCAAGGAAACGGUGGCAGAGGAGAUGUAGAGCAGUUUUUUAAAAACCUGAGUGUUGUCUGCCCUUGAAUGAGCUCAGCUGUACUUUGAGAUUUUGUUGUGAUGCGGAGAAGAGGAAGGUCAAAUCAAAAUAAAGUCUUUCUUUAAAACUAA